AGUGAACGCUGGCGGUAGGCCUAACACAUGCAAGUCGAACGGCAGCACAGUAAGAGCUUGCUCUUACGGUUGGCGAGUGGCGGACGGGUGAGGCAUACAUCGGAAUCUACUUUUUCGUGGGGGAUAACGGGGGGAAACUUACGCUAAUACCUCAUACGACCUACGGGUGAGAGCAGGGGAUCUUGAGACCUUUCGCGAUUGAAUUAGACGAUUUCGCAUUAGCUAGUUGGCAUGGUAAAGUCCCACCAAGGCAACGAUCCGUAGCUGAUCUGAGAUGAUGAUCGGCCACACUGGAACAGAGACACGGUCCAGACUCCUACGGGAGGCAGCAGUAGGGAAUCUUCCGCAAUGGGCGAAAGCCUGACGGAGCAACGCCGCGUGAGUGAUGAAGGUCUUCGGAUCGUAAAACUCUGUUAUUAGGGAAGAACAAAUGUGUAAGUAAAUAUGCACGUCUUGACGGUACCUAAUCAGAAAGCCACGGCUAACUACGUG
rnacentral:rRNA from 1 species